rnacentral:rRNA from 10 species
AAAUUGAAGAGUUUGAUCAUGGCUCAGAUUGAACGCUGGCGGCAGGCCUAACACAUGCAAGUCGAACGGUAGCACAGAGAGCUUGCUCUCGGGUGACGAGUGGCGGACGGGUGAGUAAUGUCUGGGAAACUGCCUGAUGGAGGGGGAUAACUACUGGAAACGGUAGCUAAUACCGCAUAACGUCGCAAGACCAAAGAGGGGGACCUUCGGGCCUCUUGCCAUCAGAUGUGCCCAGAUGGGAUUAGCUAGUAGGUGGGGUAACGGCUCACCUAGGCGACGAUCCCUAGCUGGUCUGAGAGGAUGACCAGCCACACUGGAACUGAGACACGGUCCAGACUCCUACGGGAGGCAGCAGUGGGGAAUAUUGCACAAUGGGCGCAAGCCUGAUGCAGCCAUGCCGCGUGUAUGAAGAAGGCCUUCGGGUUGUAAAGUACUUUCAGCGGGGAGGAAGG